rnacentral:lncRNA from 1 species
AAUUUGCAACCAGAAGAAGGAAGAACGCAGAAACCUGUUUCUUCACGAGACUUGCAUCAAUCAGAAAAAAAGCUUUCCUUUUUCACUAAAAUUUCUAAAUAACACUGUAUGUAUCUACUGCCUGGAUCCAGGAGAAUCAGAAGACUGUUCCUUUUGCUGUUGUUGCUGAUUAUGCCCCAUCUGCUGAUAGAAUUGAGAGUUCAAAUUGUUCAAUCCUCCAUCUUGCGAAAGCCCCAGCUCCAAACCCGGAGUAAUAUUACCCGACCCACCACUAAACAUGGAUGAGUAAAAGCUCAUCAACCCAGCAUUUAUAUUCGGGAAUUCCAUCCCACCGCCGUGAAUCGUAGUAUUAUUAGCAGAUUGCCAAAUCCCAGAAGCCGCCAAAUUAGAUCUCGCGACCUGCAAAUUGGCAUUUACCAUGGCGGCCCAAUUAUUCCCAGCAGAGAAAGAAACGGAGCUCCCCUGCAUCUCCGAAUUAGAAACAGAGGACC